UACGUAGGGAGCAAGCGUUGUCCGGAAUCAUUGGGCGUAAAGAGCGCGUAGGUGGCUGCAUAAGUCCGUUGUGAAAGUCAAAGGCUCAACCUUUGAAAGCCGAUGGAUACUGUGGAGCUAGAGUACGGAAGAGGCGAGUGGAAUUCCUGGUGUAGCGGUGGAAUGCGCAGAUAUCAGGAGGAACACCAAUAGCGAAGGCAGCUCGCUGGGACGUUACUGACACUGAGGCGCGAAAGCGUGGGGAGCGAACGGG
rnacentral:rRNA from 1 species